rnacentral:rRNA from 1 species
CCUACGGGAGGCAGCAGUGGGGAAUCUUGCACAAUGGGCGAAAGCCUGAUGCAGCAACGCCGCGUGAGGGACGAAGGCUUUCUGAGUUGUAAACCUCUUUCAGCAGGGACGAUUAUGACGGUACCUGCAGAAGAAGCCCCGGCCAACUACAUGCCAGCAGCCGCGGUAAU